rnacentral:rRNA from 1 species
CUAGAUGUGAAAGCCCCGGGCUCAACCUGGGAUGGUCAUUUAGAACUGGCAGACUAGAGUCUUGGAGAGGGGAGUGGAAUUCCAGGUGUAGCGGUGAAAUGCGUAGAUAUCUGGAGGAACAUCAGUGGCGAAGGCGACUCCCUGGCCAAAGACUGACGCUCAUGUGCGAAAGUGUGGGUAGCGAACAGGAUUAGAUACCCUGGUAGUCCACACCGUAAACGCUGUCUACUAGCUGUGUGUGCCUUUAAGGCGUGCGUAGCGAAGCUAACGCGCUAAGUAGACCGCCUGGGGAGUACGGCCGCAAGGUUAAAACUCAAAUGAAUUGACGG